CCUGGGUUUUGCUGUGUUACCCAGGCUGGUCUCGCACUCUAGGGCUCAAGGGAACUGCCCGCCUCAGCCUCCCGAAGUGCUGGGAUUACAGGAGUGAGCCCCGACGCCCAGCCAGGAAACUUUUAAAGUUUUAUUUUCUUUAUUAGUAUUUUUAAAACAAAAUAACUCAUGUUCCUGUAAUAGCUACCAUUUGAGUAAGGUAGAAGUGAGCGCUCGAGGCAGGGAGUGUGACGUUUGGAAGCAGGUGGCUGUGCAGUUGGUGACCUCCGUUUUUCCCACGGGGUUGGUCUGCCACCGGCUGUGUUCUCAUCCCCAUCCUGGGCGUCUGCCUGUCGGCGUAUGUCACAUUGGCUUGUUCUCAUGGCGCAUAGUGCCCUGCCGCCUGGAUGCACCACAGUCCUUCAGCCAGCCCCCACUGUGUGCCCUCUGUGGGUGUUAACUCCAGGUACUUGGGCUGCAGGGUAGAGGAGGCAGCCAGGCCUGAGGCUGUGCCCAUCUGUGGCCUUAGGAGUCACAGCAGCCGCUUCUGAGAGGCCAACAGGUAUCAGGGCACCCAGAGCCACCACUGUGUCCAGAACGGCAUUUCCACUUCACUGGCCAGGUCUAAAGUCCUGAGGGGCCUUUGCUCCAGGGACCCAGGGUACCUCCCUCAGCAGGGCAGGAACUAGGCCAGGAAUACCAUGGGGCACUGAAGGAGGAGCCUCCCUCUAUCCCUGUAACCCUCCAUCCCUGUACCUCUCCAUCCCUCCAUCCCUGCACCCCUCCGUCCCUGUGCCCCUCUAUCUCUCCAUCCCUGCACCCCUCCAUCCCUGUACCCCAUCCCUGUACCCCUCCGUCCCCCAUCCCUGCACCCCUCCAUCCCUGUACCCCUCCAUCCUUCCAUCCCUGCACCCUCCAUCCCUGUACCCCUCCAUCCCUCCAUCCCUGUACCCCUCCAUCCUUCCAUCCCUGCACCCUCCAUCCCUGUACCCUUCCAUCCCUCCAUCCCUGCAUCCCUCUGUCCCUGCACCCCUCCAUCCCUCCAUCCCUGCACCCCUCCUUCGUUGUACCCCUCCAUCCUCCAUCUCUGCAUCCCUGCACCCCUCCAUCCUCCAUCCCUGUACCCUUACAUUCUCCAUCCCUGCAUUCCUCCAUCGCAGCAUCCCUGCAUGCCUCCGUUCUCUGCAUCCCUCCACCCCAGUAUCCCUGCACCUCUUCAUCCCUCCAUUCCUGCAUCCCUCUAUUUUUCCAUCCCUCCAUUCCUGUAUCCCUGUGCCCUCCAUCCUCCAUCCCAGCAUCCCUCCAUCCCUGCUCCCCACUCUCACUUCCCUUCCCUUCACAGACAGGCUUUUCCUGCCAUCCUCAGACCCCACCCAGGGUUACCUGAUGCCUUUCCAGCUGCACACGGGGACUGACUCACCUCUCUCUUUCUCAGUCCCAAAGUCCCGAAAGAGAGCAUCUGAUGUGGUCAGCUUGUGACAAGGCGUCCACCUUCUGUCCAUGACAUGGAGGCCAGGGGAAGGUCUCACUGCCCAGCACCCCACCCUGUGCUCCCAGGCCUUUUGAAUGUUCCUCCUGCUCAGCCCAGUGACUGCGGGCUGUGGCUCCUCCUCCAGCCUCCCCUCGAGGUCCUGGUCUUACUUAGGAGGCCCCGGGUGUAGAUGCCUUCCCACCCACCAGGCAUUGCCCCUUUUCCUGGCUUCACAGACUCGGGAAUAAAGUUUCCUUCUGUUUCCCCUCUUGCAGAAGGAGAUCCGGUUGGCAGCUAAACCGCGCUGGGAACAGGGGCCUGAGUCCUGGACUAGGGCUCUUUCCCCGGGGCUGCUGCAGAUGGGGAGGAGCCUACACCCGCCUCCCGAGUGCUAAUCAGACCUGACAGGCUGGAGAAUGGCCAGUCAGCCUGAGGCCACCGCGGGACACCACCUAGGCCCAGCUUCUCCCCCCACCAGAGGGCGCCAGAGCCCGCCAAGCCUCGUAGGAGAUGGCAACAGGGCCUGCUGCUGCCACCUAGCGGCCAAUUCCGGGAAUGAAUCUCGGCACGCUCAUUACCCAGCGACUCUGCCCAUCUUGACCCUUUAUGUGAAGCAGAACAGCCGCUUCCGCAGUGAGCUGUCAGAAGGCGUCGUGCCUGUCUUGCUAGUGGGGAAACUGAGGCUCAGAGAGGCAGAAGACUUGCCCAAGAUCACACCACCGGGACCCAGGAUUCAAGCGCAGGCCUGCCCAGGCUCUCUGUGGCCUCCUGGCUGCGAGGAGGCAGCCAGGGACCAGGUGCCACCCUUCUGAGACACCUGAGAUCCCAGGCCCGAGAGGAUGAAGGCGGGAUUACCUGGAGCGUGUCUGAAUGCUGGAGGAAGAAGGGCAGCUGGGAGAUGAAGCUGUCAGGAUGGGCCGCAUCCCAUUUCCUGCCUCGUUUCAGUUCAACUUUCCAACAGACCUCCCUGGCUCGUCUUGCUCUUCUCUAAUGGACAAACAAACAGGCUCAGAGAGGUGGUGUGACUUGCCCAAGGUCACUCAGCUUGGAUGCUAUGGAACAGGGACGUCCACUGUCCCAGUCUGUUUAUGGGAAGCCGCUCUGCAACUGUCCUGACCCACCACAUGCCCCACCGCUGUUUCUCUUGCCCUGACCCCUUGUUCCCUGGACCAGGGUGGCACAGCUCCAGGCUCUUGGGCCCUUCCCGAGGGCAGGCACCUGUGACUGUGUCCCCAAAGACCUGAGUGGCUGAGGGGGCCCCACAGAGCUUGGACUUCCUGGAGGACAAGGAGGGGUCUGCCAGCCACCCCCACCACGCCCGCCCCAGGGCUCCCCUGGAGCUUCCAUGCCAGCCGGACUCAGGUGGGUCUGGAGGAGCACCGUGCCUCCAAUCAGACCUUGAGAUGUGCCCCCUGCCCCCACUGUGCCCUCCCCUGCCCAGGAGUCUGGUUGCAAACCCUGAUUAAGGGGAUUUUAUCUCCACCAGAGGGCCAGUAGGUGGGAAGUAGCUUAAACAAUGCAGGUUUAUAAUCUCACAGUUCUGGAGGUCAAGAGUCUGAAAUGGGCCUCAUGGGGCUAAAACCAAGGUGUCUGCAGGGCUGUGUUCCUUCUGGAGGCUCCAGGGCAGGAAGGGGAGGAUCCACUUCUGUGCCUUUCCAGCUUCUAGAGGCUGCCUGCGUUCCUUGGCUCGUGGCCCCUUCCUCCACCUUCAAGCCAGCAGCGGAGGCCUGAGUCCUUCUCAUGCCAUCUCUCUGUUCUCUCUCCUGCCUCCUCCUCCACACUGAAGGACCCCUGUGAUCACACUGGCCCCCCCACCGGAUGACCCAGGAUAAUCCAUCUCCCUGUUUGAAGGUCGGCUGAUUAGCAACCUUCAUUCCAUCUGCCUCCUUCAUUCCCCCUGGCCAUGUAAUGGGAUUCACAGCUUCUGGGGAUUAGGACAUGGACAUCUUGUGGCGGGGGCAUAAUUCUGUCGACGACACCAAGAAACACUUGGAUGUUAAGGAUUCACCGAACACUGUUCAGGCUCCAGGUGCUGGGAGCAGCAGUGAACAAAGCCAACAGACACUGCCACCCUCAAGGAGUUCACGUUCAUGGGCGAGGGAACAGAUGAGAAACCCGGCAAUGAAAGUAAGUAGCAUAAUUGACUUGAAAAGUGCCGGGGAGAAAGAGAAGAUGGAUGGAGAAUGACACCUGGCCCCUUCUCUAUUUCUUUAUUUGUUUCACUCUUGUUGCCCAGGCUGGAGUGCAAUGGCACAAUCUCAGCUCACUGCGACCUCUGCCUCCCAGCUUCAAGUGAUUCUGCUGCCUCAGCCUCCCAAGUAGCUUGGAUUACAGGCAUGCACGCCCAGCUCAUUUUUUUUUUUUUUUUUUUUAGUAGAGACGGGGUUUACACCAUGUUGGCCAGGCUGGUCUCAAACUCGUGACCUCAGGUGAUCCACCUGCAUCGGCCUCCCAAAGUGCUGGGAUUACAGGCAUGAGCCACCGUGCCCAGCUCCCCUUCUCUAUUUCUAAGGUGACCCAGAUUCCUUUACUGCUUUCUGGCAAAUCCACCUCUGGCCAGGCAGUAGGCCGGCAACGCAGGGCUUGAAGGCCAUAAUGGGGACGUUUGUCUAAUGGUGAGAAAGGAAACACUGGAAGGUUUUUGCUUCCCUUUUUAAAAAAUUCAGGUAUGGCCGGGCACGGUGGCUCACACCUGUAAUCCCAGCACUUUGGGAGGCCAAGGUAGGCUGAU
rnacentral:lncRNA from 1 species